CGGAAACAAUUUUAAAGAAA
rnacentral:snRNA from 1 species